UAGGGAAUCUUCGGCAAUGGACGAAAGUCUGACCGAGCAACGCCGCGUGAGUGAAGAAGGUUUUCGGAUCGUAAAACUCUGUUGUUAGAGAAGAACAAGGACGUUAGUAACUGAACGUCCCCUGAUGGUAUCUAAUCAGAAAGCCACGGCUAACUACGUGCCAGCAGCCGCGGUAAUACGUAGGUGGCAAGCGUUGUCCGGAUUUAUUGGGCGUAAAGCGAGCGCAGGCGGUUUCUUAAGAUUGAUGUGAAAGCCCCCGGCUCAACCGGGGAGGGUCGUUGGAAAAUGGGAGACUUGAGUGCAGAAAAGGAGAGUGGAAUUCCAUGUGUAGCGGUGAAAUGCGUAGAUAUAUGGAGGAACACCAGUGGCGAAGGCGGCUCUCUGGUCUGUAACAGACGCUGAGGCUCGAAAGCGUGGGGAGCAAACAGG
rnacentral:rRNA from 1 species